CAACUUAGAGCUUGUUAAGCAUCUUAUUUACAUUAAGAAGAAAAUUUUGAAAUUUAAGUUGA
rnacentral:tRNA from 1 species